ACGGGGAGGCAGCAGUCGGGGGAAUAUUGCACAAUGGGCGCAAGCCUGAUGCAGCCAUGCCGCGUGUGUGAAGAAGGACCUUCGGGUUCGUAAAGCAACGUUUCAGUCGUGAGGAAGGUAGUGUAGUUAAUAGCUGCAUUAUUUGACGUUAGCGACAGAAGAAGCACCGGCUAACUCCGUGCCAGCAGCCGCGGUAAUACGGAGGGUGCGAGCGUUAAUCGGAAUUACUGGGCGUUAAAGCGCAUGCAGGUGGUUUGUUAAGUCAGAUGUGAAAGACCCCGGGGCUCAAACCUCGGAAUAGCAUUUGAAACUGGCAGACUAGAGUACUGUAGAGGGGGGUAGGAAUUUCAGGUGUAGCGGUGAAAUGCGUAGAGAUCUGAAGGAAUACCGGUGGCGAAGGCGGCCCCCUGGACAGAUACUGACACUCAGAUGCGAAAGCGUGGGGAGCAAACAGGAUUAGAUACCCUGGUAG
rnacentral:rRNA from 1 species